rnacentral:rRNA from 1 species
UACGUAGGGGGCAAGCGUUGGUCCGGAAUCAUUGGGCGUAAAGAAGCGUGUAGGCGGUCCGGUCAGUCGGUUGUGAAAGUCAAGGGCUCAACCCUUGAAUGCCGGCCGAUACUGCCGGGCUAGAGUCCGGAAGAGGUGAGUGGAAUUCCUGGUGUAGCGGUGGAAUGCGCAGAUAUCAGGAGGAACACCAAUAGCGAAGGCAGCUCGCUGGGACGGUAUUGACGCUAAGGCGCGAAAGCGUGGGGAGCAAACAGG